AAACUAACAAGGAUUCCCCUAGUAACGGCGAGUGAACCGGGAAGAGCUCAAAUUUGAAAUCUGGCGUCCUUCGGGCGUCCGAGUUGUAAUCUAUAGAAACGUUUUCCGUGCCGGACCGUGUCCAAGUCCCUUGGAACAGGGUAUCAGAGAGGGUGACAAUCCCGUACUUGACACGACGACCGGUGCUCUGUGAUACGUUCUCUACGAGUCGAGUUGUUUGGGAAUGCAGCUCAAAAUGGGUGGUAAACUCCAUCUAAAGCUAAAUAUUGGUGGGAGACCGAUAGCGAACAAGUACCGUGAGGGAAAGAUGAAAAGCACUUUGGAAAGAGAGUUAAACAGUAUGUGAAAUUGUUGAAAGGGAAACGAUUGAAGUCAGUCGUGACCGUUGGGUUCAGCCGGUUCUGCCGGUCUACUCCCUUCGGUCGGGUCAACAUCGGUUUUGACCGGCGGAUAAGGAAGGGAGGAAUGUGGCACCCUCCGGGGUGUGUUAUAGCCUCUCGUCGCAUACGUCGGUCGAGACCGAGGAACGCAGCUCGCCUUUAUGGCCGGGGUUCGCCCACGUCCGAGCUUAGGAUGUUGACAUAAUGGCUUUAAACGACCCGUCUUGAAACACG
rnacentral:rRNA from 1 species